rnacentral:rRNA from 1 species
AAUAGAUACCCCGGUAGUCCACGCCGUAAACUAUGGAUGCUAGCUGUUAUAGGUAUCGACCCCUGUAGUAGCGAAGCUAACGCGUUAAGCAUCCCGCCUGUGGAGUACGGUCGCAAGACUAAAACAUAAAGGAAUUGACGGGGACCCGCACAAGCGGUGGAGCGUGUUGUUUAAUUCGAUGGUAAACGAAGAACCUUACCCAGGCUUGACAUCCUUGGAAAGCAUCCGAAAGGAUACUGUGCCCUUGGGAACCAAGUGACAGGUGUUGCAUGGCCGUCGUCAGCUCGUGUCGUGAGAUGUUUGGUUAAGUCCAUCAACGAGCGCAACCCUUUUAGUCUGUUGUAUUUUUCAGGCUAGACUGCCCUGGCAACAGGGAGGAAGGAGGGGAUGAUGUCAAGGUCAGGUAUUACCCUUACGUCUGGGGCUACAAACACGCUACAAUGGCCGGUACAAAGGGCAGCCAAGUCGCGAGACGGAGCAAAAGUCCCAAUCAAAGCCGGUCUCAGUUCGGAUUGCAGGCUGAAACUCGCCUGCA